rnacentral:rRNA from 1 species
GCCGAUUAACUAGCUCAUACACUUGGUUUAAAACCACAAUAUACAUAGACCCCCAUGAAUUAAUACCCCAACAUCAAACCAUUUUUCCACCUUAGUAGGGGAGACAGAAAAGGACCUAGAAGCAACAGAAAAAGUACCGCAAGGGAAAGUUGAAAGAGAAAUGAAACAACCCAUAAAAGCACAACGCAGCAGAGACUAGUUCUCGUACCUUUUGCAUCAUGAUUUGGCCAGCAUUACUUAAGCGAAGAGAACUUUAGUUUAAGCCCCCGAAACUAGACGAGCUACUCCGAGACAGCCUAUUAUAGGGCCAACCCGUCUCUGUGGCAAAAGAGUGGGAAGAGCUCUGAGUAGAGGUGAUAAACCUACCGAGCCUAGUUAUAGCUGGUUGUCUAAGAAAUGAAUAGAAGUUCAGCCCCCCAAAUUACCCACCCUCCUUAGUGUAACCCACCUUGGCACCGGAAAGUUGGGGGAGUUAGUCAAAGGAGGUACAGCUCCUUUGAACAAGGACACAACCUUAACAGGAGGUUAAAGAUCAUAUUAAGUAAGGAAUUAUGUUUUAGUGGGCCUAAAAGCAGCCACCUUCCUAGAAAGCGUUAAAGCUCAGACACCUCAAUACCCUUUUAUUCUGAUAAAAAAUCUUACCCCCUAAAUCUAAUAGACCGUUCCACGCCCUCACGUGGAAGCGACCAUGCUAAAAUGAGUAACAAGAGGGCACUUCCACCCUCUCCCCGCACCUGUGUAACUCGGACCGGACCCCCCGCCGACUAUUAACGAACCCAAAGCCAGAGGGAACUAUGGACUAGACAAACUACUAGCAAACCCCAUCCCACCAAUCGUUAACCCCACACUGGAGUGCAACAGGGAAAGACCUAAAGGAUAAGAAGGAACUCGGCAAACACAAGCCUCGCCUGUUUACCAAAAACAUCGCCUCUUGAAAGCUAGAAAUAAGAGGUCCCGCCUGCCCUGUGACUAUAUGUUUAACGGCCGCGGUAUUUUGACCGUGCAAAGGUAGCGCAAUCACUUGUCUUUUAAAUGGAGACCUGUAUGAAUGGCAAGACGAGGGCUAAGCUGUCUCCUUUUCCAAGUCAGUGAAAUUGAUCUCCCCGUGCAGAAGCGGGGAUAUUCUCAUAAGACGAGAAGACCCUAUGGAGCUUUAGACACUAGACAGCCCAUGUUAAACAACCUAUCUUAAAGGUAAGAACUUAGUGGCACCUCGUUUAAUUGUCUUCGGUUGGGGCGACCGCGGGGGAAAAAACAGCCCCCAUGUGGAAUGGGAGCAUAAUCUCCUAAAGCCGAGAAUAACUUUUCGAAGCAACAGAAAUUCUGACCAAAUAUGAUCCGGCAAUGCCGAUCAACGGACCCAGUUACCCUAGGGAUAACAGCGCAAUCCUCUCCCAGAGUCCCUAUCGACGAGGGGGUUUACGACCUCGAUGUUGGAUCAGGACAUCCUAAUGGUGCAGCCGCUAUUAAGGGUUCGUUUGUUCAACGAUUAAAGUCCUACGUGAUCUGAGUUCAGACCGGAGUAAUCCAGGUCAGUUUCUAUCUAUGAUGUGACCUUUUCUAGUACGAAAGGACCGAAAAGACGGGGCCCAUGCUAGAGGUAUGCCCCACCCCUACCUGAUGAAGACAACUAAAUUAGACAAAGGGGCACACCUUUACAGUCCAAGAUAACGACGC